rnacentral:rRNA from 1 species
AUUGAACGCUGGCUGCAGGCCUAACACAUGCAAGUCGAACGAGUGGCGGACGGGUGAGUAAUGUCUGGGAAACUGCCUGAUGGAGGGGGAUAACUACUGGAAACGGUAGCUAAUACCGCAUACCAUCAGAUGUUCCCAGAUGGGAUUAGCUUGUUGGUGGGGUAACGGCUCACCAAGGCGACGAUCCCUAGCUGGUCUGAGAGGAUGACGAGCCACAAUGGAACGGGGGCACGGUCCGGAUACCUACGGGAGGGAGCAGUGGGGAAUAUUGCACUAUGGGCGCAAGCCUGAUGCAGCCAUGCCGCGUGUAUGAAGAAGGCCUUCGGGUUGUAAAGUACUUUCAGCGGGGAGGCGUUACCCGCAGAAGAAGCACCGGCUAACUCCGUGCCAGCCGCCGCGGUAAUUC